rnacentral:lncRNA from 1 species
CCUUACUGGUAGAAGUUAAACUUAAACCUAAAAUGAGAACCAUGAUCACGACAAAUUCAAGGGAAAGGAAGAGAACCAGCGCCACCACCAGGACCACCGAGUCCACCACCGGUGCCCACUCCACUGCCUAUGCCGCCUAGGGUUCCGAGACCACCGGUGCCACCCAAGCCACCCAAGCUGCCGAGCCCUCCUGUCCCACCUAGUCCACCUGCACUACCGAUUCCUCCGCCAAGUCCGCUGACUCCACCUAGUCCACCAAAUGGCAGUCCAGAACCACCUAGUCCUGCAACACCACCGACUCCGCCGAAGCCACCGAGCCCGCCAAAGCCGACGAUAUUCUUUUGGUCAUCGAGACCAGCAUCACUAGGCACAGUCCUUGCAGUGGUGUGAACCACUGCUACGGCAAGCACUGCCAUGAUAAACCACUUUGCCAUCUCUCUCUUUUCUCACUUACUAACUCAC